rnacentral:rRNA from 1 species
CUACGGGGCGCAGCAGUGGGGAAUAUUGCACAAUGGGGGAAACCCUGAUGCAGCAACGCCGCGUGGAGGAUGACGCAUUUCGGUGUGUAAACUCCUUUUAUAUGUCAAGAAAAUGACGGUAGCAUAUGAAUAAGCACCGGCUAACUCCGUGCCAGCAGCCGCGGUAAUACGGAGGGUGCAAGCGUUACUCGGAAUCACUGGGCGUAAAGGACGCGUAGGCGGGUUGGAAAGUCAGGUGUGAAAUCCUACAGCUUAACUGUAGAACUGCACUUGAAACUUCUAAUCUAGAGUAUGGGAGGGGGAGAUGGAAUUAGUGGUGUAGGGGUAAAAUCCGUAGAUAUCACUAGGAAUACCUAAAGCGAAGGCGAUCUCCUGGAACAUUACUGACGCUAAGGCGUGAAAGCGUGGGGAGCAAACAGGAUUAGAUACCCCUGUAGUC